GAUAUACUCCCUCCGUCCCAAAAUUCUUGUCUUAAAUUUGUCUAAAUACGAAUGUAUCUAGUUACAUUUUAGUGUUAGAUACAUCCGUAUCUAAACAAAUGUAAGACAAGAAUUUUGGGACGGAUGAAAAGGAGG
rfam:Triticum aestivum genome assembly, contig: Triticum_aestivum_CS42_TGACv1_scaffold_502241_6BL